UUCCUGUUAUAUACUUAAACCUUAUCAAUGGGAAAUUAAAAUAUGUAAUAUAUUAUUUCUACAACCAUAUUAGCAAAAACUUUACAUCUGCAUUUUCUCUAGACAAAUCCCUCUGACUGUGAUAUCAUUAAAUAUGUAAUAGUAGGCAGCGUGAUGCACUUAUUUUCAUUCCUUAUGGAUGACCGUGUGUAACUCAGUUUGUAGCUUUGCUUCCCUCUGCCAUCUUGAGUUACAGCCAUUCCUGACACUCAGAAAAAGGGCCAACUCUGAUGGGAGUUAUUUUCUCAUUCUCUCCAAACAGGGAAGAAGAAGCCAUGAUAUCUAAAUGGAAAUUUAAGGUGCCUCAGUUUUGGAAGUGGAAAGAGUGGCUUCUGGUGGUGAGGAGGAGACUUUUUCAAGAUAAUCUGCUUUCUGCUCCAGGGAGCUUCAUAUUUUCCUCUUGAACUGAUGGGUACCUUUGAACAACAGGAACUGAGAAC
rnacentral:lncRNA from 1 species